rnacentral:rRNA from 1 species
CCCUUCGGGGUGGACUGCCGGCCGGCGCCCUAAUGGCCGUGGGCUUCGGCUCCGGUCACGAAUACCUCGAACAAAUGAGAGCGCAUGAGGCAGGCACAUGUUGCCGGAAUCUAUUAGCAUGGAAUAACACAUGGACCGCAGCGUCUUGUUGUUGGUUAAAGACGAUGCAGUAAUGAUUAACAGGGGUACUCGGGGCCAACCGUACUCUGGGGCUAGGGGUGAAAUCCUGUGACCCUCAGAAGACGACCUAAUGCGAAAGCAGUUGGCUAGGGUACUUUCAUUGAUCAAGCACGAAGGGUGGGGGAGCAAAGACGAUUAGACACCGUUGUAGUCCCACCAGUAAACGAUGUCGACGCGAUCACGGGUGUCUGUGUUAGCAGCGCUCGGGAGCGUAUAGAAAUUAGAGUCUUUGGACUCUGGGGGGAGUAUGGUCGCAAGUCUGAAACUUAAAGGAAUUGACGGAAGGGCACAACCAGGCGUGGAGCCUGCGGCUUAAUUUGACUCAACACGGGGAAGCUCACCAGGGCAGGACAUGAUUAGGAUUGACAGACAUGACAGAUCUUUCAUGAUCUCAUGGGUGGUGGUGCAUGGCCGUUCUUAGUUCGUGGGGUGACUUGUCUGGUUGAUUCCGAUAACGAGCGAGACCGAGACCCAAGGUUGGCGCCGUUUCCCUCAUGUUCUUUGGGGCUUCGAGGGCGGCGCUCUUCUUGCGCCUUGGGGACCGGCGCCCGGUUAAGGGCGUGGAGGUGCUUGGCAAUAACAGGUCUGUGAUGCCCUUAGAUGUCCUGGGCCGCACGCGCGCUACACUGAUGCAGACAAUGGGCAUUCACCUAUUCCGAGAGGGCUGGGUAAUCCUGUGAGGCUGCAUCGUGCUGGGGAUCGAGCACUGGAACUGUGCUCGUGAACAU